rnacentral:lncRNA from 1 species
CCAUAUCAGUUGCAGGGACCCACUUUCCCAAAUCUACAAUUACAACUGCAUCUCUGCAAUUUUGGGGUAUUUGCUUAUCUGAAACAACUGCUCUGAUCAAUCUGAUUCAACAGUUCUAUUGAUUUGCUUCGUUAUUGUGCUUGACAUGGUUAAGAAGAAUUACCGGUAUUUGAUGGAUUUUGUGUUUUUGGAGUAGUAAAUGCUUAUCUUGUGGUCUUGAUCCUUAUACGUAGACUUAACUUUCCUUCUUUUUUUUUUU